rnacentral:rRNA from 1 species
CACGUAGGGUGCGAGCGUUGUCCGGAAUUAUUGGGCGUAAAGAGCUCGUAGGCGGUGUGUCGCGUCGGCCGUGAAAACCUGCAGCUUAACUGUGGCUUGCGGUCGAUACGGGCAUCACUGGAGUUCGGCAGGGGAGACUGGAAUUCCUGGUGUAGCGGUGAAAUGCGCAGAUAUUGUUUGGAACGCCAAAGGUGAAAACAGGUCGCUGGGGAUGUGCUGACGCUGAGACACGAAAGCCAGGGGAGCAAACGGGA